rnacentral:RNase_P_RNA from 1 species
GAGAUAGAACUUACAGUCGCCGUCGAUUUAUAAUUUUUAUACUUCGGCGGAGGAAAGUCCGGGCUCCGCAGGGAACGACGCUGGAUAACGUCCAGGCGUCCGGUUGUAACGGCCGGGCGACGGAUAGCGCAACAGAAAAUAUACCGCCGCGUUUGUUUUCAAACGCGGUAAGGGUGAAAUGGCAAGGUAAGAGCUUACCGAAUAGAUAGCGAUAUCUAUGUCUUGCAAGCCCCGUCGGGAGCAACGUCAAGCAGAGCGGACGAGCGUCCCGUUAUAUACCGCUCGGGUAGGCGGCGAGAACUAUUUAGCAAUAAAUAGUCCAGAUAGAUGACUGUUUUAAACAGAACCCGGCUUAUACGUUCUAUCUCUUUU